rnacentral:tRNA from 5 species
GCUCCUGUAGCUCAGUAGGUAGAGCACAUCCAUGGUAAGGAUGGGGUCGGCGGUUCAAUUCCGCCCGGGAGCUCCA